GACGAACCGAGCGAACGUUAUUCGGAAUCACUGGGCUUAAAGGGUGCGUAGGCGGGCACGCGAGUCAGGGGUGAAAUCCCACGGCCCAACCGUGGAAGUGCCUCUGAUACCGCGAGCCUCGAGGGGGAUAGGGGCGUGCGGAACUUCCGGUGGAGCGGUGAAAUGCGUAGAUAUCCACAGGAACUCCGGUGGCGAAGGCGGCACGCUGGACCCUCUCUGACGCUGAGGCGCGAAAGCCAGGGGAGCGAACGGG
rnacentral:rRNA from 1 species